UGAGUUGAGCUUGUUUUGUUAGACCCUUCACAUUCUGGCCUAGUCUUUCUUUGUUUUACUUAUACUAACUAAUUUAACCAGAUUACUCCAUUCACUUUCUUAAACAGGCCUAUGUUUUCCUGGCUCUGCUGUAUUCAUACUGUUAAGCUUUAACAUCUUCCCUUUUGUACAUAUGGUCUUGGUCAAUCCUCAAUAACAGACUAACAAUCUUGUAAAUGAAACAGGGUAGGAGUUUUUAUUAGAAGGCUUGAUUUAAGAGGGGGCUUGGGAGUCAGAUGGCUUAGUUUUAAAUUCCAGCUCCAAUGUUUGUUUUCUAUGUGAUCUUAUGCUAUAAAUUGAUGUUAAUAGUAUGUACCUCACAGGAAGAUACAAGUGGGUAAUUCAUGUAAAACACUUAACAUGGUUCCUGCUACAUAGUGAACAUAGUAUUUAAAGGUAAAGUUUAGGAGUUGACCUAAACUUGUUUUCUGAAUCUGCUCAUAUUUUUGCCACUUACAAAAAACUGUUGUAUUAGAAAGUGAAAAGUAUCAACCUCUUUAAGACUUGAUUUGGUAUUAAAAUUGGAAUUUCAUGUUAAUUUAAAAGAUUAUUCUACUUUCUGUUGAACUGGAAAAUUUCUAAAGGAAUUUCUUGCUUGUUUUAGGCCUAUAGUUUGAAUACAGGUAAUGUGUUAAGAAUCUGGGACAUAUAUGUUAACUAAAGCAUAGUUCUUGCCCUUAGGGACUAUGAAUAUUUUUAACAAUGUAAGAGUUUAAUGACUUCCAAUAUUUUCCUGUUUCUGAUAUUUUUCUCAAUUAUUUUAGUCAUUAGAGUUAGUUAAGUUAGUUAAAUAAGGUGCUUUAUCCUAGGUCCUGGUUUUCAAAAUGAAUUUGAUCCUAGAAAGUGUUUCUUUA